rfam:Schistosoma haematobium scaffold519_18, whole genome shotgun sequence.
AUCGAGCUGACGAGUCCAAAGUAGGACGAAAAGCGCCUUCUGGAU